UACGUAGGGGGCAAGCGUUGUCCGGAAUUAUUGGGCGUAAAGAGCGUGUAGGCGGUCCGGUAAGUCAGCUGUGAAAGUCAAGGGCUCAACCCUUGAAUGCCGGUUGAUACUGUCGGGCUAGAGUCCGGAAGAGGCGAGUGGAAUUCCCGGUGUAGCGGUGAAAUGCGCAGAUAUCUGGAGGAACACCGGUGGCGAAGGCGGCAUCCUGGACCGGCAUUGACGCUGAGGCGCGAAAGCCAGGGGAGCAAACGGG
rnacentral:rRNA from 1 species